rnacentral:antisense_RNA from 1 species
CUUCACCGACCCCAGCCACAGGGGCUGCUCGGCCUCCCGCUCCUGGCCGUAGGUGGCGAGCAGCGCCUGUGCCUC